UCCAGAUAGGUGGAUGAUUUUCCUUCCUGGAGCCAGGCAUACCUUGAAGCAGUCUGACAGCAACCACAUGUAUGCCUUCUAUGGUUUUGAAAGACACAAACAGGGGCAGCCUUUGUCCUCCCUGCAGAGUUCUCUGAUAGAUCAGACUGAUUAGAAAUGGCUAGAAAAGUGCAACACUGUCUUCCUUUCCGGUGCUUCUGAUAACUCUAGAUCGGUUCCUAACAGGGCAGUCAGAGUCACUGCCAGUCCCCGUCUGCCUAACUCUACUGCUAAUUCCCUAUGAUUCACGUUGUGUUGUUUCUUGAGUGUUCCAGUCUCUUAGCAGCAAAAUGUGGAAGGUAGAAGAACAAUAGAAUUCUGGGUAUUUUACAAAAUAAUCCCCGUGGAACAGAAUGACUUUGCCAGUCUGGGCUACUUUGCUCUCUGAAUGGUCUGUGGAAGAGAAAGACAUCCUACAGGAAGUGAAAAUAAAGAAUAUUUCUUGGUUCCCUGGCCAUUUUCAAGCAUUGUGCAUGUGUGUCAAAAUGGAAGCCGGUGAGCCUAGCAACAGCACCAAGAGUUGAGGCAGCGCUGCUGCCAUGGAAUGGGCAGGCUGAGCCCUGAUCCACGAGGAUUAGGAGUUAACCUCACUCAAAUGGAACACAGGGAUUCAAAGGCUGGAGAAAAGACUUCCAUGGUUUUCCAACACAAACCUGAGAAGAUAAUUAAACAGAUGGCAACAAUAAACCGAAUCGGAACACAUCAGGGAGUGAAGUCCCUUAUUAAAGCCUUGCAAGCCGAAGAGAGGGAAGAGAGGAAAGUAAAAUCCAA